rnacentral:lncRNA from 1 species
GCAAUGCCAGCCAGUGCCUGCGCGGCUUGCUCCAGCAAGGUAAAAUUUCCCACUGCGAGGCAGGCAGUGAUGCUGCGGCCGCUUCGCACUGUGGCUCCUGCCGACCGCCAGGCGCUGUUACAGUGGAUGCGAACUAACCGUAAGUCAUUAUAUCGUACUGCAGAAACCAGCUCAACUAUGCAAAACUACCACCAGGACUGGCCGACACCAGGAGGGAUUCCAGAGACCACACUGCAGGGAGCAUACAGAAAGAAAAUUAAGAGAUCAGAUGCAGCAGCAGCCGGAACCCACAGUUCACCUUGGUGCAUUCCUUUAUGAUGAAGACUUAUUGAUUCAUUAUAUGAGAAAGGAAAAAUGAGCAGAAACUACUGUAUGAUGUGCAGCUCACACCAGACAGCAACUUUAGAGUAAUUUAUCCCUACUUACAGAGAGAUUGCCCUACGUGUAACAGCUGCAUACAAAAAAGUUAUAAAAUUAUCAUUGGUUUAACAAGGAUAAGUGAAAAACAUUAAAAUUCUCCAACUGAACAAGGUGUGUCUGUUUCAUUGAUUGGCUGACUGUCAAAUCGGAAUCUGAUCUGCCCCAUUGACAAUGCCUUGGGCUUUUCCUCGGCCAUGGCAAAUGCCAGAGUCUUCUCAGCUGCCGCUUCACAAAAGAGGUACCAGCUUCUCACUGAACGAACACAGUGCAGCACCAGGAGUGACAGAAGAAGGAGGCGGCAGCGGUGGUUGAGGGACAGGGUGCGUGCACGUCCAAGUACAGUUCUUAAAAUGUUGAGGGCAUACAACAUAUGCUCAAUAAAUACCUGAUUUUUAAAAAAGACAAUGACUAUGGAAAACUCUUGAUCAUUAACCCGAAGGGAGAGUCUAGUUUCCAGGAAGCAUUUGUUUGUAUACACUAUUUAACCCAAGGAUACACUCUUUUCUCCGUGGCAGCGUGACUCAUCUUAGUCUCCAAUUUUUGACCUGGUAAGGCAUCUUUUUUGGUCUCUUAAUUUCUGGCUCACUUGGCCCUGAUUUGAUGUGAAUGUUCUUACUGACAUCCCAGUGACUGAUUCUCAGCACACCACAACCCCUUUUGGUUCCUACCCUAUCUUCUCUGUGUUGGCAACUGGACUCGCCUAUUCUUCAGGACUUUCAGGAGUGCACACUCUGGUAGCUCUCUAUUGACUUUACUGCUCACUCAUUCUUUUUCUUUUUUUUUGGAGACGGAGUCUCGCUCUGUUGCCCAGGCUGGAGUGCAGUGGCGCGA